GUGGUUGGCCAGGGUGCUCACCCUCCCUACUGCCUCCCUAUGUGACCAAGGCUGGCCAAUCAGAGUAUUCUAUCCCCCAGUGAUUGCUUUGGGCAACGUCAUGUGACUCAGCUGGCAACGAGCAGAAUCGUCCUUGACAGUGGACUCAGCUCAAUUCUCAAAUCCCUCACAGGAAACCUUCCUAUUGUGGACCACUUUGCCUGGUUUCAGGAAUUGUAACUACCUCCCAUGGCUAAGGAUGAGUGAGCGACCUCCAGAAUGCAAGCCACAGGAGACAAGGCUUGUCUCUGGUAGCAAAUGCUGCCUCAGCUUCCUCCCUCUGCCCCCAAAGCAUGGUCAAUGUUGUCGAUGGAGAGAGGGGAAGAGAAGGAGAGAGUGAGAGAAACUUCGAUCAGCUGCCUCUCAUACGCCACCAACCAAGGACCACACCACAGCACAGGCAUGUGCCCUGGCUGGGAAUCAAACCUGCAAUCUUUCACUUCGUAGGACAAUACCCAACCCAUCGAGCCACACAGGGAAACAAGAAGAUUGCUCCCAAGCCCAGGAAGCUGCUGUUGUUCUUCAGCCUGGCUUAGGGGCUGAAGAAACUAGUCCCUGUGGGAUCCGGAGAUCCAGUCCUAUCUGUGGACACAAACUCUGUUCUCAUUUUCCCUUAACCACCUCACAGUGUCUCCUUGUUUUCACUGUUUUUGUCUCAGAGGAAAUAGUGGGGUGGAAAGGGUGAGGAGAAGUGAAGAGAUGUGUAUUUUUAGCCAUGACACAGCUGAAUGUUCUGAAU